CAAGUGAACGUCUGUGAUUUUAUUCUCCAUACUUUCCUGUAUGCUUAAAAUGAGAACAUUUGAAGGAUGUUUUGAAAGAAAACAAAGUACUGGGGGGUGUUUAUGUACAAAUCCUGUAGGUUUUAUUUUCAACUCUCUCCUUUCCUCUCGACAACAAAUCUGUGGCGCUCUCUCCACAUCAGUCCGCAGAGAGCCAUUCAACAUUUUAAAAUUGUUAAAUGCUUUUCCAGAGUGCUUAGCAAUGGCACACCUUAUUUAGCUGUUUCCCUGUUCCCGGACAACGAGACUAUUUAAACAGCCUUUUUGCUGUGAUAAGCCAGGCCUCCCUGCAUGUGUGUGAGCAUUUCUCUGAGCUGAAGAGCAGGAAGGGGAACUGCUUCGUUUAUAGGGCUUGCACAUGUUUUCAUGUUAUAGCUCCAGGCCCUCAGACCACUUUUCUCCUUGGCACUGAAGGACCUUCUGGAAGGCAAGGUGAGCAAGAAGAUGUGUGUGGCCCACUGAGGGGCAAACCUUGGUUCCCUUCCCAGCCUCAUACCUCAUACCAUUGCUGUUGCCUCUCCCUCCCUCUCUAAUCCCUCAUGGUCAGUAUGGCAGGUCCUGGUAAUUACUAAUCUCUAGGGAAAAAACGAUCCCCCCCCCCACCUGUGUUUCUGAUCAAAGUCACUUCCUCUUCUCCAAGGGGUGGGAUGGGUACAGGAAGGACUUGAGAAAAGUCCUUUGUUUAAAAACAGUAGAGAAUUGCCCCUUGGCACUUUUCCUGAUUUUUAUUUAUUGAAAAAUCUAACUCUAGCUCUUCUUGAGCUCAGGACUGAUGAUGAGAAGGUGUGGAGCCAUGCUGGAAUCUAGUAUGCAUUUACUCAACGAGUCUUCACUGAGCACCUGAGGGGCAUAGGAUGGGCACUGAUUCCUUAGGAUGUCACUGGCCCUAAGGGUGUGUGUGAGUGUACACAAGAAGACAGCCAUCUGCAUGCCAGAGAGCCCUCGCCAGGAAUCUCUUCAGGAACUCAAUUGGCCAGCACCUUGAUAUUGGGAUUCUAGCCUCCAGAGCUGGCACUUUCCAGAAGCUACACACUACCCGAAAACCUACUCCUCAAAACUUCAUCCCACAGCCACACCUUGCUGCAAGGGAAGACGGGAACUGCAGAUUCAAUUCGGAGAAACCAUGUGCACAGCCACUGUGGAUAAGUGGGGUUCUGUUACUGAAGAUGUAGAGAAUGGAAGGUGGGGGACCCAUCAGCCACAACAGGGAAAGAGUAUGAUCAGCGGAUUGGGUUGUAGAUAACAUUCACGGGACCUGUCAAGAGAUAGUUCUCUAUGAGUCUCUCUCACAUUUGUGGAUGGCCCACAAGCAGCAGGAUUGGCUGUCCUUCUCCUAGACUAUCUUUCCAAGGUUGUUUGUAUGGCAAGAAUGCUUAGAAGACAGAGAUAACGUCUACCCAUGGAGUGAAGUGCAGGCAGACUAACGUCCGAAAUAAUAAAGAUAAUGGCUCCUUUUGCAGAUCAUGUCUCCUCUGCCUAAGAGGAGGUUUAUUGCCCAUUACACAAUGCUUGGGUUCCCUAAGCACAGGAUUCCAAAUUGAGAGAGAUGCUAUAAAAAUAUUAACAUCAUGAAAUACAAAAAAGGAAAGAACUACAUAUUCUAAACAGCAAGGGACUAAGCGGGACAACAAAAUGCAAUUUGUCACUCUGAUUGGAUCUUGAAUUGAAAAAGGAAAAAGCUAUAAUAAUAUUAUCUGACAUAUGUCCAUAUUCACAUUUCCCUUGGAAAAAUUGAAUGUGGCUACAUAUUAGAUAAUAUUAUGUCCUUGUUGAAUUUCUUGAAUGUGAUCGCGGUAUUGUAAUUAUGUAAGAAAGUGUUCAGAUUCUUAGGAGAUACACAUAGAAAUAUGUAGGAGAGAAAGGUCGUGAUCUCAGCGACUUACUUUCAAGUGGCUCAGGAAAAGAAUGUGUACACGCAUAUAACAGCUUGCUAGCAGUUGGUGAACUGGGGUGAGGAACGUAUGAGUGUUCUUUGAAUUAUUGUAUAAUCUUCUCUGUAGUUUUCAAAGACAACGGGUUGGAAACAAUGGGACGGAAUCCUGGUGAGCCUGUGGAAGGUGGGUUGGGGGAGGCCAUGGCUGGACUCGGGGAGGCUGACCUAGGAAUUCCACCCAUUCAGGAUUUCUCUCACCAUCAUUCACCAGCCUGGUCUCUGGUCCUGCUGAUAAAGGACUUUUUCCAGGCCUCCCCCAGGCUGCCCAGCUGGUAACCAGAGAGGCAAAGGCGGUCCAACUCCCUGUGGCCACUGGAAAAAUCCUGGGGAAGGGCCCUGCGGGGCUCAGCUCGGGUCAUGCACAUGGCCACCCCGGUCAGAAAAGGGCAGGGUGGCCAGGACCCAGUAUCGGCUGUGUACUCCGAGACGGUGGCCUUCAUGAAGGUGGCAGGGGUCAGCACGGGAUCAGUUACACACAGAGAGCAGGAAGGAGGAGAGAAGCGGGGGAGCAGAGGAAAUAAAGAUGAUUCAGCAUGUACCAUUAACGGAGAGAAUACAAGGGGAGAAGUUUGGAGUGCUCUGUUAUGCACUUGACAUCGGAAGCUUUGGGGGCAUGAAGAGGAGGAAUGUCACAGAUUGUUGGAAGAACAGAUCUGUAGCUCAGAAGACUGUUGGCAGUCCCAGGUGGGCGACGAAGGUGAGGGGGGAGUCAGCCCCAGUACCAGAAGGUGGAAGGUGCCACCUGCCACCUUGUCCAGCAGCCUAGCAGCAGAGCCCUCUCCUUGUAAGGAGGCCCCUGGAUGAGGGAAGAGGGAUCCCGGCUAAUGAUGAGGGAGGAGAGGCUGGAAGUCAUUAAAAGGCAUUAUAUCACAUUUCAGUUUUUACG